rnacentral:rRNA from 1 species
UGUACCUACGGGGGGCAGCAGUCGGGAAUAUUGCACAAUGGAGGAAACUCUGAUGCAGUGACGCCGCGUGCAGGAAGAAGGUUUUCGGAUUGUAAACUGCUUUAGAUAGGGAAGAAAAAAGACAGUACCUAUAGAAUAAGCUCCGGCUAACUACGUGCCAGCAGCCGCGGUAAUACGUAGGGAGCAAGCGUUAUCCGGAUUUAUUGGGUGUAAAGGGUGCGUAGACGGCCUUUUAAGUCAGCGGUGAAAGUCUGUGGCUCAACCAUAGAAUUGCCGUUGAAACUGGGGGGCUUGAGUAUGUUUGA